rnacentral:rRNA from 1 species
AACGCUAGCUACAGGCUUAACACAUGCAAGUCGAGGGGUACCAUGGUCAAAGCUUGCUUUGACUGAUGACGACCGGCGGAUGGGUGAGUAACACGUAUCCAACCUACCGUAUACACGGGGAUAGCCUUUCGAAAGAAAGAUUAAUACCCGAUGGUGUAAAGAGAUCCCCUGAUUUUUUUACUAAAGAUUUAUCGGUAUACGAUGGGGAUGCGUUCCAUUAGAUCGUUGGUAGGGUAACGGCCCACCAAGGCAACGAUCAGUAGGGGUUCUGAGAGGAAGGUCCCCCACAUUGGAACUGAGACACGGUCCAAACUCCUACGGGAGGCAGCAGUGAGGAAUAUUGGUCAAUGGGCGGAAGCCUGAACCAGCCAAGUAGCGUGAGGGAUGACUGCCCUAUGGGUUGUAAACCUCUUUUAUAAGGGAAUAAAAUACGGGACGUGUCCUGUUUUGCAUGUACCUUAUGAAUAAGGACCGGCUAAUUCCGUGCCAGCAGCCGCGGUAAUACGGAAGGUCCGGGCGUUAUCCGGAUUUAUUGGGUUUAAAGGGAGCGCAGGCGGUCUUAUAAGCGUGACGUGAAAUGCAGCGGCUCAACCGUAUGAUGUGCGUCGCGAACUGUGAGACUUGAGUGUAUUCGAUGUCAGCGGAAUUUGUGGUGUAGCGGUGAAAUGCUUAGAUAUCACGAAGAACUCCGAU